UGAUGUUAUAUUUAGUUGUACUGCGUUGCUCUUUUUCCUUGAGUUGCUGGGGAAAUAUGGUUUUGAUCCGAAAUAUAAUGUGGCUCAAACUUGGCACUUCAGGAGGGAAAGCGAAGUGUUAUCUGGUUUUGCUGUGGUGGUCAGCAUUUGUGACAAGAACGUCAAGAUCAAAUGAAGUUUGCAAUGAGUUUGUUUACCUUGGAGGAGAUUUUGGGACACAUAAAGGAAGUUUCUCAAGUCCUGGCUAUCCCACAGAGACUUAUCCAAAUAGAGAGCGUUGAACUUGGAUAGUCAAAGUACCUCUGGAUUACCGGGUAGCACUCUACUUCAGCGAUUUUGAUGUGGAAUCAUGCGCCACUCAAACAGAAAAUUGUACCUGCGACUACGUGGAAAUUUCUGAUGGACAACUUUUAAUUGAUAGGCGGAUUUCAAAAUUAUGAGGAAAUAAAAUACCUCCGAACGUUUUAUCCAGUGGGCGAUUCCUCAGGAUUGACUUGGUAACAGACGCAACAAAUCCGAUGAAAGGAUUUAAUGCGCACUUUUACUCUGUAUCUUCAGAUGGGUCCACACUGUCUACCGUAGAUGUUCAGAAAAAUCCAAAAUCAGUACCACCUGCCACCGACACACCUAAGAAAGGUGGCAGCAGCACGACAAUGAUUGCCGUGAUUUGCAGUCUUCUUGGUGUCGUUCUGAUCGGGGUUUUUCUUCUGCUGGUCCUUGUUAAGAAAAAACACGCUCAGGACAAUCGACGAAGAUCCCCACAGUUGGGCAGGUCCGUUUCCAGUACUACGUCUCAAAGGAACAAUUUGCCUUCAGAGCCUCCUCCACCAUAUGCAUCUGUAGUAAACGCCUCUCCCACAAUUAGAUAAGAAAUAAGAAAAUGACUAGGGUUUUGUCUACGGCACAAAAAUGGUUGAUCGUGUGAACAGGAAGCUACUACAGGUGAAGGCGGGCUUCAACCGUCAAAAGAGUUGAAGCCCGGCAACUCACAUUCACUUGGAAAAGAUGAAGGCACGGUCAACACUUGAUAAGAAACACGACUGAAUGGGUAUACAGGUAAAGAUAAAACAACUACAAAAGCUUUCAACUAGUUCAUCGUAUUCAAAGUGAAAUACAGACAAAAAUCAAGCGUUGCUUUUGAAAAUGCUGCCAUUAAUAUUUUUUGUUUGCGCUAAGAAUAUGAAUACAAUAAAAUCUUGCAAAUAAG